rnacentral:rRNA from 1 species
AUUGAACGCUGGCGGCAUGCUUUAUACAUGCAAGUCGAACGGUAACAGGCCGCAAGGUGCUGACGAGUGGCGAACGGGUGAGUAAUGCAUCGGAACGUGCCCAGUCGUGGGGAUAACGCAGCGAAAGCUGCGCUAAUACCGCCUACGAUCUAUGGAUGAAAGCGGGGGACCGUAAGGCCUCGCGCGAUUGGAGCGGCCGAUGUCAGAUUAGGUAGUUGGCGGGGUAAAGGCUCACCAAGCCAACGAUCUGUAGCUGGUCUGAGAGGACGACCAGCCACACUGGGACUGAGACACGGCCCAGACUCCUACGGGAGGCAGCAGUGGGGAAUUUUGGACAAUGGGCGCAAGCCUGAUCCAGCAAUGCCGCGUGCAGGAAGAAGGCCUUCGGGUUGUAAACUGCUUUUGUACGGAACGAAACGGUCCUGGUUAAUACCCGGGGCUAAUGACGGUACCGUAAGAAUAAGCACCGGCUAACUACGUGCCAGCAGCCGCGGUAAGAC